rnacentral:rRNA from 1 species
GAUGAACGCUGGCGGCGUGCCUAAUACAUGCAAGUCGAGCGAACGGACGAGAAGCUUGCUUUUCUGAUGUUAGCGGCGGACGGGUGAGUAACACGUGGAUAACCUACCUAUAAGACUGGGAUAACUUCGGGAAACCGGAGCUAAUACCGGAUAAUAUUUUGAACCGCAUGGUUCAAAAGUGAAAGACGGUCUUGCUGUCACUUAUAGAUGGAUCCGCGCUGCAUUAGCUAGUUGGUAAGGUAACGGCUUACCAAGGCAACGAUGCAUAGCCGACCUGAGAGGGGGAUCGGCCACAACGGAACUGGGACACGGUCCAGACCCCCAAGGGGGGCAGCAGUAGGGAAUCUUCCGCAAUGGGCGAAAGCCUGACGGAGCAACGCCGCGUGAGUGAUGAAGGUCUUCGGAUCGUAAAACUCUGUUAUUAGGGAAGAACAUAUGUGUAAGUAACUGUGCACAUCUUGACGGUACCUAAUCAGAAAGCCACGGCUAACUACGUG